rnacentral:rRNA from 1 species
GAUGAACGCUGGCGGCGUGCCUAAUACAUGCAAGUCGAGCGAACAGACGAGGAGCUUGCUCCUCUGACGUUAGCGGCGGACGGGUGAGUAACACGUGGAUAACCUACCUAUAAGACUGGGAUAACUUCGGGAAACCGGAGCUAAUACCGUAUAAUAUAUUGAACCGCAUGGUUCAAUAGUGAAAGACGGUUUUGCUGUCACUUAUAGAUGGAUCCGCGCCGCAUUAGCUAGUUGGUAAGGUAACGGCUUACAAAGGCGACGAUGCGUAGCCGACCUGAGAGAGUGAUAGGCCACACUGGAACUGAGACACGGUCCAGACUCCUACGGGAGGCAGCAGUAGGGAAUCUUACGCAAUGGGCGAAAGCCUGACGGAGCAACGCCGCGUGAGUGAUGAAGGUCUUCGGAUCGUAAAACUCUGUUAUUAGGGAAGAACAAAUGUGUAAGUAACUAUGCACGUCUUGACGGUACCUAAUCAGAAAGCCACGGCUAACUACGUG